CGGGGACCAAGGGGCAAAUAAGCAGAAGAGCAGGGCGUAGAGACUGUUUCUGUCAGACUUUGAUAAAAAAAGUGCAUCUUUAUCCCAUUUUGCAGCCCAACCAUCCUCAACACCCUCCCUACCUAUCUGCUCAUUUUUAUUUUUUAUUUAUUGCAUGAUCCCUUGGAUGUUUGUCGAAUGAAAACAAGUCACUUAUAGCAAGUGGAGCCACAAUGUUAACAUCACAUUGAGCAGCUGCACAUCUACCUGGGGGGAGAACUGAGUCAACCAUGGGGGUGGGAUCGAGAGAAUGUAUCCAACAGACCAGAUGCUGAGCCACCUGGAUCGCGACCCCGUCGAACGCAAGGGGUCAUGGCCGGCGUAGUCAAGCGUGCUGGCGGAGACACGGACGCACGGAGAAAGGAAACGCAGCCAGAACACGUCAGCGUCCCCGAGCCCUUCCGUGGUCUGACGGGAGACCGUCCGCCCUCCGGGGGGAACCCGUUCGGGAGAUAACGGAAGACAACGUUAAGCAACGGCUGCUGAGUGUCUGAGUGGGGGGAUCUGCUACUUGAAUCCAUCACUCUUGUCAGCCCCGGCCCCGGAGUUGGUUCACAUCUGCUAGUUAAACGAGGCUCUUUGAUUCCAUUUGCGGUGCGCGGAGCAGAAUAAACUUUCCCUUUUACCUCAUUAUGCGAUCUGACCACUUGAGCAUUGUAAAUUCUAGAAAGAAUUAAUUGGAAGAAAAGGCCGGGUUUUACGAGUCCUCGCAGAUCGGGGACGCUCUCUGAGCGUAACUCGUGACAUUGUUACUCCUUUUGUUCCGCACUACGAGACAUUUUACCGCCAUUGUUUGUAUUUUUCUAUUAUUCUGCUUUUGGCCUCAGAUUCAUAACAGUGUAGGCAAAAUUAAUCAUAAAAUUACACUGAUGAAAGGCCAUUUGACAAAUUGAAAGAGUAAGACGUUGGAGAAGUGCAAUGAAUUUGUUCAGACAUUGUUAUAUAAAAUGUCAAUUACCAGAUUUUUGUUUUAACAUGUUUUUUUUUUUUUUUGUUGUGCACGCUGGCUAUAUUAAUACUGGAGCUACAUUAUAAUUAAUAUGGCACAUCUUGGAGACAUGCCAAGCAGAAGUAGGAUGUUUAUAUCUAAGGUGGAUUUAAUCGCAGCCUGCAUUAUCUGCCGAGCUUGCUAGCUUUGCCGCUGGACUGCUUCAGCUAAGGCUAAACAAAUAAAUGAGAAAA